CAAGUGCGCCACUGAAAGAACCAGCAGAAUUCAGAGCACUGAAAGUACCCGGAUGGUGCUCUGCAAACGGGCAAAACAUGUAAAACGAUGGACACUACUCGCCCUAAGCGGCCGCCAUCUUGGCUACGUACCGGAAGAGGAGGAGCCAUUUCGCCAGCUUUUCAUUUUAUUUCUAAAACAAUGGCGGACAGCACAAGCGGUAGACCACGAAGCUACAGACUGUAAAUAGACGUUUCCUGGAGGUGCUGCUGGUCCUCUGCUGCCCUCCCGACAUCUGGCUCCAAUGACCUCUGGCACCUCACAUCCACCUCCAGGGCCUUGAAGAAGAUGGACCGCCAUCGCGUCUUCAGUAUCCCGAAGGACCUCUCCACAACACAGCUGGCCUUUGACAGGCAGCAGUUGUAGCUUGGAGGUGGACAGGCUGCCUGAAGGGGGUCAUGAGGCAGAUGGGUUGGGACAGGCAGGGGGAGCCACCAUCCCCAAGGAUACAGUAUCCUGGUGGAGGGGAUGACUGCUCAUAGAAGAUGGGGCUGUUAUUCAGGACCCUGGCAUCAUGCACUGAGCCCGGGGCCUGUCGAAGGCCCUGGCCACCACCCGAUAGGAGGUGGCGCUGGCAAGCCAAAAAAUAAAAACUAGACAGGAGAUCUCGGGGCCCCAACCGUGGUCAGUCAGUGCCCAGCACAGCCAUGAGGGCGUUGAAUGACUCGGUGAGCCUGAAGUCCACCCUCAUGUCACUGGCCAUCACAAUACAACGCCAGCAGUGGCAUUGCAGCAUUGAUACGGCAGCGCCGCCUGGGACUGGGUGGCUGCUGUAGAGUGUGUGGGGAGGGGAAGGGAAGAUUAUAUUAAUAUGUAAGUCAUUUUAUCAAUAAAAUGUUGUCAUUGA